UACGGAGGGGGUUAGCGUUGUUCGGAAUUACUGGGCGUAAAGCGCGCGUAGGCGGAUUGGAAAGUUGGGGGUGAAAUCCCGGGGCUCAACCCCGGAACUGCCUCCAAAACUAUCAGUCUAGAGGUCGAGAGAGGUGAGUGGAAUUCCGAGUGUAGAGGUGAAAUUCGUAGAUAUUCGGAGGAACACCAGUGGCGAAGGCGGCUCACUGGCUCGAUACUGACGCUGAGGUGCGAAAGCGUGGGGAGCAAACAGG
rnacentral:rRNA from 1 species